rnacentral:rRNA from 1 species
ACGAACUGUCCUAACGUUGUUCGGAAUCACUGGGCUUAAAGGGCGCGUAGGCGGUCCGUCAAGUCAGGGGUGAAAUCCUGCAGCUUAACUGUAGAAGUGCCUCUGAUACUGACGGUCUUGAGGGAGAUAGGGGUGUGCGGAACUUCCAGUGGAGCGGUGAAAUGCGUUGAUAUUGGAAGGAACGCCGGAGGCGAAAGCGGCGCACUGGAUCUCUUCUGACGCUGAGGCGCGAAAGCUAGGGGAGCAAACGGGAUUAGAUACCCCGGUAGUCCUAGCCCUAAACGAUGAGUACUAGAUUGUAGACUGAUCAUGGGUUUACAGUCGAAGCAAAAGUGUUAAGUACUCCGCCUGGGGAGUAUGGUCGCAAGGCUG